rnacentral:rRNA from 1 species
UGCGUAGGCGGUUUGGUAAGUCAGAUGUGAAAUUCCUGGGCUCAACCGAGGAACUGUAUUUGAUACUGCCAGACUAGAGUACUGGAGAGGAGACUGGAAUUCACGGUGUAGCAGUGAAAUGCGUAGAUAUCGUGAGGAAGGCCAGUGGCGAAGGCGAGUCUCUGGACAGUAACUGACGCUGAGGCACGAAGGCCAGGGGAGCAAACG